ACUCGGAGCUUGCUCCGGGAAGUUAGUGGCGGACGGGUGAGUAACGCGUGAGCAACCUGCCUGUGUGAGCGGAAUAACGUCCGGAAACAGACGCUAAUACCGCAUGACUCACGGACUUCGCAUGGAGACCGUGGCAAAGAUUUAUCGCACACAGAUGGGCUCGCGUCCGAUUAGGCAGUUGGUGAGGUAACGGCUCACCAAACCGACGAUCGGUAGCCGGACUGAGAGGGUGAUCGGCCACAUUGGGACUGAGACACGGCCCAAACUCC
rnacentral:rRNA from 1 species